rnacentral:rRNA from 1 species
UUCCGGUUGAUCCUGCCGGACCUGACUGCUAUCGGAUUGAUACUAAGCCAUGCUAGUCUUUGCAGUAAUGCAAGGCAUACGGCUCAGUAACACGUAGUCAACUUACCCUAUGGACGAGGAUAAUCUCGGGAAACUGAGCAUAAUACUCGAUAGAUCAUAAUGCCUGGAAUGGUUUAUGGUUAAAAUGAUUCGUCGCCAUAGGAUGGGACUGCGGCCUAUCAGCUUGUUGGUGAGGUAAUGGCCCACCAAGGCGAUUACAGGUACGGGCUCUGAGAGGAGAAGCCCGGAGAUGGGUACUGAGACAAGGACCCAGGCCCUAUGGGGCGCAGCAGGCGAGAAAACUUUGCAAUGUGCGAAAGCACGACAAGGUUAAUCCGAGUGAUUUCUGCUAAAGAAAUCUUUUGCAAGUCAUAAAACCACUAGUGAAUAAGGGGUGGGCAAGUUCUGGUGUCAGCCGCCGCGGUAAAACCAGCACCUCAAGUGGUCAGGAGGAUUAUUGGGCCUAAAGCAUCCGUAGCCGGCUCUGUAAGUUUUCGGUUAAAUCCAUGUGCUCAACGCAUGGGCUGCCGAAAAUACUGCAUAGCUAGGGAGUGGGAGAGGUAGACGGUACUCGGUAGGAAGGGGUAAAAUCCUUUGAUCUAUCGAUGACCACCUGUGGCGAAGGCGGUCUACCAGAACACGUUCGACGGUGAGGGAUGAAAGCUGGGGGAGCAAACCGGAUUAGAUACCCGGGUAGUCCCAGCUGUAAACGAUGCAGACUCGAUGAUGCAUUGGCAUAUAGCCAGUGCAGUGUCGCAGGGAAGCCGUUAAGUCUGCCGCCUGGGAAGUACGUACGCAAGUAUGAAACUUAAAGGAAUUGGCGGGGGAGCACCACAAGGGGUGAAGCCUGCGGUUCAAUUGGAUUCAACGCCGG